UACGAAGGGGGCUAGCGUUGCUCGGAAUCACUGGGCGUAAAGCGCACGUAGGCGGACUCUUAAGUCGGUGGUGAAAUCCUGGAGCUCAACUCCAGAACUGCCUUCGAUACUGAGAGUCUCGAGUCCGAGAGAGGUGAGUGGAACUGCGAGUGUAGAGGUGAAAUUCGUAGAUAUUCGCAAGAACACCAGUGGCGAAGGCGGCUCACUGGCUCGGUACUGACGCUGAGGUGCGAAAGCGUGGGAAGCAAACAGG
rnacentral:rRNA from 1 species